UACAGAGGUCCCAAGCGUUGUUCGGAUUCACUGGGCGUAAAGGGUGCGUAGGUGGCAUGGUAAGUUUGAUGUGAAAGCUCAGGGCUUAACCCUGAAAUGGCAUUGAAUACUACCGUGCUGGAGGUUUGGAGGGGGGACUGGAAUUCUUGGUGUAGCAGUGAAAUGCGUAGAUAUCAAGAGGAACACCAGUGGCGAAGGCGAGUCCCUGGACAACACCUGACACUGAGGCACGAAAGCCGGGGGGAGCAAACAGG
rnacentral:rRNA from 1 species